AUUGAACGCUGGCGGCGUGCCUAACACAUGCAAGUCGAGCGGUAACAGGUGUAGCAAUACAUGCUGACGAGCGGCGAACGGGUGAGUAAUGCUUCGGAAUCUGCCCAUGUAGUGGGGAAUAACCAGCCGAAAGGUUGGCUAAUACCGCAUACGACCCUUGCCCACAAGGCAAAGGUGAAAGCAGGGGAUCGCAAGACCUUGCGCUAUUGGAUGAGCCGAAGUCGGAUUAGCUAGUUGGUAGGGUAACGGCCUACCAAGGCGACGAUCCGUAGCUGGUCUGAGAGGACGACCAGCCACACUGGGACUGAGACACGGCCCAGACUCCUACGGGAGGCAGCAGUGGGGAAUAUUGGACAAUGGGGCAACCCUGAUCCAGCGACGCCGCGUGUGUGAAGAAGGCCUGCGGGUUGUAAAGCAC
rnacentral:rRNA from 1 species